GCUACACAUGCAGUCGAGCGGUAACAGAGAGUAGCUUGCUACUUUGCUGACGAGCGGCGGACGGGUGAGUAAUGCUUGGGAACAUGCCUUGAGGUGGGGGACAACAGUUGGAAACGACUGCUAAUACCGCAUAAUGUCUACGGACCAAAGGGGGCUUCGGCUCUCGCCUUUAGAUUGGCCCAAGUGGGAUUAGCUAGUUGGUGAGGUAAUGGCUCACCAAGGCGACGAUCCCUAGCUGGUUUGAGAGGAUGAUCAGCCACACUGGGACUGAGACACGGCCCAGACUCCUACGGGAGGCAGCAGUGGGGAAUAUUGCACAAUGGGCGCAAGCCUGAUGCAGCCAUGCCGCGUGUGUGAAGAAGGCCUUCGGGUUGUAAAGCACUUUCAGUCAGGAGGAAAGCGUGGNGGUUAAUACCCAUCAUGUGUGACGUUACUGACAGAAGAAGCACCGGCUAACUCCGUGCCAGCNGCCGCGGUAAUANGGAGGGNGCGAGCGUUAUCG
rnacentral:rRNA from 1 species